AUCAUUUCACGAAAGAACAUGAGUGAUAUAAUUUUUUUUUUUUUUUUUUCAAAAGUACAAUAAUAAAAUUUUCAACGUUCUUUUCCAGUCGCUUUAUUACAUGUGAGUAAUCAUCUUUAUCAGUGACAACUUUUAACUUAUUACGUCAUUCAAGAAUCAAGUGUUAAAAACUUAACAAGGGGUAUAUUAAAUGUCACCAGUUGCUUUGUCCUCGAUUAAAGGGUAUGCUAUCUACUACGCCCCAGUAUAAUAUUGUAAUACUUGGAACAUAUCGACAUUGCUGUGACUCUCUUUCUCUCUCUCUCUCUUGCACACAAACAAUAAAUGUACAGAAUGUCACGGAUGGAACUUAAAUAUCUGAUGACUAAUCUCACACAAAAUCAAUAAAAAAAAAAAAAAAAAAUGAAA